UACGUAGGGCGCAAGCGUUUGUCCGGAAUUAUUGGGCGUAAAGAGCUCGUAGGCGGCUUGUCACGUCGAUUGUGAAAGCUCGGGGCUUAACCCCGAAUCUGCAGUCGAUACGGGCUAGCUAGAGUGUGGUAGGGGAGACUGGAAUUCCUGGUGUAGCGGUGAAAUGCGCAGAUAUCAGGAGGAACACCGGUGGCGAAGGCGGCAUCCUGGACCGAUACUGACGCUGAGGAGCGAAAGCCAGGGGAGCAAACGGG
rnacentral:rRNA from 1 species